ACCAGACUCCACGGGAGGCAGCAGUGGGGAAUAUUGCACAAUGGGGGAAACCCUGAUGCAGCGACGCCGCGUGAGUGAAGAAGUAUUUCGGUAUGUAAAGCUCUAUCAGCAGGAACGAGACAAGACGGUACCUGACUAAGAAGCCCCGGCUAACUACGUGCCAGCAGCCGCGGUAAUACGUAGGGGGCAAGCGUUAUCCGGAAUCACUGGGUGUAAAGGGAGCGUAGACGGCUGAGCAAGCCUGAAGUGAAAGGCGGGGGCCCAACCCCCGGACUGCUUUGGGAACUGUACGGCUGGAGUGCAGGAGAGGUAAGUGGAAUUCCUAGUGUAGCGGUGAAAUGCGUAGAUAUUAGGAGGAACACCAGUGGCGAAGGCGGCUUACUGGACUGUAACUGACGUUGAGGCUCGAAAGCGUGGGGAGCAAACAGGAUUAGAUACCCCUGUA
rnacentral:rRNA from 1 species